CCUCUUCCUCUUCCCAUGAUGGAUCCUUUCCCUCGGCGCCACUUCUUCUUUCACUGUUUUCUCAUCCAUUUUAGUCGUUUUCGUUGCCGGAAUCAAAUGAUGGAUCUCUUUCCCCACUGCGGCUUCUUUCAUCGUCGUUUCGUCUUUCUUCGUCGCCGCUUUCGAUUUUGUAUUAAUCCAUCAUGGGUUGAACAUUUUGCAGCGCUGCUUCCUAUAUCCUCAUGCCUAUCGAUUUGGCUAUAUAAUAGCACAUCUAACAUCCACUUUUAUCUACAUCUAAUAACCAUAACCUUUUUCUCCUAUAAGCUGUAAAAUUUUUAUUCUAUUUUUAUUUUUUAAUGUCACACCCCAAUAAUCCCACAUUG
rnacentral:lncRNA from 1 species